CGUGUCUCUAAGAGUUUGAUCAUGGCUCAGAUUGAACGCUGGCGGCAUGCCUUACACAUGCAAGUCGAACGGCAGCGCGGGAGCAAUCCUGGCGGCGAGUGGCGAACGGGUGAGUAAAAUAUCGGAACAUACCCUGGAGUGGGGGAUAACGUAGCGAAAGCUACGCUAAUACCGCAUACGAUCUACGGAUGAAAGUGGGGGCUCGCAAGACCUCAUGCUCGUGGAGUGGCCGAUAUCUGAUUAGCUAGUUGGCGGGGUAAAAGCCCACCAAGGCGACGAUCAGUAGCUGGUCUGAGAGGACGACCAGCCACACUGGGACUGAGACACGGCCCAGACUCCUACGGGAGGCAGCAGUGGGGAAUUUUGGACAAUGGGCGCAAGCCUGAUCCAGCAAUGCCGCGUGUGUGAAGAAGGCCUUCGGGUUGUAAAGCACUUUUGUCAGGGAAGAAACGGUUUGGGCUAAUACCCUGGGCUAAUGA
rnacentral:rRNA from 1 species